CAGCACUGAGGGGCUGUGUAACUGCCCUGCACUGGUGCCAGUUUAUGCAACUGCUCUCACUGCUUGUUCUUUGCCUCACCUACUCCUUUGUUGUGGAUAUAAAAACUGCUGGAAAGCAGGAAACUGGUUUAUUGAGCUAACCCCAAGGUUGAUUGUUGUCCCACAACUGGGAGAGCAGGAACAAAAGGAUGAGGUCUGGUGAAUGUGUAUCCAAGGAACCCAAACGCUCAUCAACAUCAGGUUAGAACAAUGUGAAUGAACACAUCCUGUCUGUACAAGUGCCUUCCUCCAGUUUCUACUACAGACUCAAAUCACCUUUAAGAAUAUUUUAAAUACAUUUUUUGAACUCUAAUGUAGUUAGAGCAUGUUGUCUUCUAGUAAAAGUUAGGAAAACCCUACAGUAAGCUUCAUUAAAUAAUUACAAAGAUUUGUGUCAGCAUUCUGCAA